UCCUGGGUGGCUCAGUGGUAAAGAAUCUGUCUGCCAUGCAGGAGAUGCAGGUUCGAUCCCUGAGUUGGGAA
rnacentral:tRNA from 1 species